AUUGAACGCUGGCGGCAGGCCUAACACAUGCAAGUCGAACGGAUGAAUGGUACUUGCUCCUGCUUUCAGCUGCCGAGUGGUGAGUGAUUGCUAGAAAUAUGCCUAUUUAUUUUGGCUAACGUCCGGACACAGGCGCUCAUACCGCAUACUUCCUGAGGAACAAAGUGUGAAAUCUUCGGACCUCACGCUAUCGCAUGAGCCUAGGUCGUAUUAGCUAGUUGGGGGGGUAAAGGCCUACCAAGGCGACGAUCCGUAACUGGUCUGAGAGGAUGAUCAGUCACACUGGAACUGAGACACGGUCCAGACUCCUACGGGAGGCAGCAGUGGGGAAUAUUGGACAAUGGGCGAAAGCCUGAUCCAGCCAUGCCGCGUGUGUGAAGAAGGUCUUCGGAUUGUAAAGCCCUUUAAGUGGGGAGGAAGGGCAGUAAGUUAAUACCUUGCUGUUCUGACGGUACCAAAAGAAUAAGCACCGGCUAACUUCGUG
rnacentral:rRNA from 1 species